rnacentral:rRNA from 1 species
UACGUAGGUGGCAAGCGUUGUCCGGAUUUACUGGGCGUAAAGAGCGCGCAGGCGGUCGUUCAAGUCGCGUGUGAAAGCCCCCGGCUCAACUGGGGAGGGUCACGCGAUACUGAUCGACUCGAAGGCAGGAGAGGGAAGUGGAAUUCCCGGUGUAGUGGUGAAAUGCGUAGAUAUCGGGAGGAACACCAGUGGCGAAGGCGACUUCCUGGCCUGUUCUUGACGCUGAGGCACGAAGGCCAGGGGAGCAAACGGG